rnacentral:rRNA from 1 species
CCUACGGGUGGCAGCAGUGGGGAAUAUUGGGCAAUGGGCGCAAGCCUGACCCAGCCACGCCGCGUGAAGGAAGAAGGCUUUCGGGUUGUAAACUUCUUUUCUCAGGGACGAAGAAAGUGACGGUACCUGAUGAAUAAGCCACGGCUAACUACGUGCCAGCAGCCGCGGGAAUACGUAGGUGGCAAGCGUUAUCCGGAUUUAUUGGGUGUAAGGGGCGUGUAGGCGGGAGCGCAAGUCAGAUGUGAAAACUCAGGGCUCAACCCUGAGCCUGCAUUUGAAACUGUGUUUCUUGAGUGGUGGAGAGGCAAUCGGAAUGCCGGGUGUAGCGGUGAAAUGCGUAGAUAUACGGAGGAACACCAGUGGUGAAGGCGGAUUGCUGGACAGUAACUGACGCUGAGGCGCGAAAGCGUGGGGAGCAAACAGGAUUAGAUACCCUUGUAGUC